rnacentral:rRNA from 1 species
AUGGAGUUGGUAUGUUGGAACGUGAGGGGACUGAACAGCCCCGCCAAAAGGAAAGCACUUAGGGAGUUUGUUGGCUCGAUUCAUACGGCCAUCAUAUGUAUAUUAGAGACUAAGCUAGAGGUGGUCGAUCAAUUUGUAAUAAUGCAAUGUCUUGGGCCAGCGUAUGAUGGUUUCUUUUACCUUCCUGCCUCAGACACCCGGGGAGGAAUUUUUGUCGCU